rnacentral:rRNA from 1 species
ACGGCUCAGUAACACGUGGACAACCUGCCCUAAGGUCUGGCAUAACUCCGGGAAACUGGGGAUAAUUCCAGAUAAACCAUAGAUACUGGAAUGUGCUGUGGUUAAAAGCUCCGGUGCCUUAGGAUGGAUCUGCGGCCUAUCAGGUAGUAGUGGGUGUAAUGUACCUACUAGCCUACGACGGGUACGGGUUGUGAGAGCAAGAGCCCGGAGAUGGAUUCUGAGACAUGAAUCCAGGCCCUACGGGGUGCAGCAGGCGCGAAAACUUUACAAUGCUGGCAACAGCGAUAAGGGGACCUCGAGUGCCAGGAUACAAUCUUGGCUGUCGAGAUGCCUAAAAAGCAUUUCAUAGCAAGGGCCGGGCAAGACCGGUGCCAGCCGCCGCGGUAACACCGGCGGCUCGAGUGGUAACCGCUAUUAUUGGGUCUAAAGGGUCUGUAGCCGGCCGGAUAAGUCUCUUGAGAAAUCUGGCAGCUUAACUGUCAGGCUUUCAGGAGAUACUGUCUGGCUCGAGGCCGGGAGAGGUGAGAGGUACUUCGGGGUAGGGGUGAAAUCUUGUAAUCCUUGAAGGACCACCAGUGGCGAAGGCGUCUCACCAGAACGGACCUGACGGCAAGGGACGAAAGCUAGGGGCACGAACCGGAUUAGAUACCCGGGUAGUCCUAGCCGUAAACGAUACUCGCUAGGUGUCGGCCACGGUGCGACCGUUGUCGGUGCCGUAGGGAAGCCGUGAAGCGAGCCACCUGGGAAGUAC